UUCACAACAUCACCACAAACGUCUUCAAGCCAGAUAAGUUACAAUCGUUUGAGAUUCUAGCUAGUAAUGUUAUGUCACAAAUUAUUAUAUAGAUAGCAUAUUUAACCUCAUAGAGCAGAUCAUCUAUGUAGACUAAGUUAGUAAAUUAUCUAGCUCGCUAGCAACUGUCAUGGUAACGUUAGCUAGGUUAAAAAGCAGCCCAUCCAACGCAUGUGAAUGUUUUGAAAUUAUAUUAAAUGAAUGCACAAUUAAUUGAGAAUAUUUAUUUGUAGAUUACAAUUUGAAUGGUUUGGCAUUAUAAUAAGUAGUUUGAAAAUAGAAUUGGAAAUUUUCAUGGAUAACAUUAGCAUAAUGUUUUCUGUUGGAGAGUGGAGAGGAGGAAGACUGGUUAGGAAGAAGAGUGAAAGAGAGAGGAAAGAUUGGAGAGGAAGGAGAAGGAAAAAUUAAGGGAGUAAAACAAGUGAAGCGAGGAGAGUAGAAGAGUGAGAUGGAAAGGUGAAAGAGAAGGAAGACGAGUGAAGAAAAGAGAGAUUGGAGAGAAUAAAAAGUUAAGAGUAAGAAGAGUGACACAAGGAGAGUGAAGAAGAGCAGACAGAGGUACAAUGGUUCUUUCCAAGAAACAGAAAAUGACAUUUUAAUGGCAACAUGAGAGAAUUUCAGUUUAUACGCUCCGGGUCAAGACGAUAGAAUGGUUCACAGAAACCUUUGUUAUUCCUCUUUUUCCAAUUGGCAGCAGGGGUAGAACAUCAACAGACGAAAAAGCAUAAAGCCUUUCUGAUUGGCCGUGUUGGUAUGCCCUCUGUCACCACAUUCUUCAAGAAGGUACAGCCUUCCCAACAAGAAUAUGGUUUAGCUGUGCAGGAGGGUGUCUUUGCAUCGCAUAGUGUGGUAUGCAAUCAUAGUUACAGAUCUAUGGACUGCACAGCACAACUGACACGGAAGCUUUAUGAGCCAAAGUUUACAUGUGCUAGGACAGAAUGUGACACCAUAGUGAGUAAAAUAAAUGAUGGCAGCACAUCUGUGGAAACAAAACAGCUUGAUUUUGUUGAAUUGAAAGGAGAAACAGCAGAGGAAAUUGCAUAUGAGGUCCUCCAAAAAUGUAACCUGGAAAACAAAGUCGUGGCAUUCUCUGCCGACAACACAAAUACCAACUUUGGAGGAAUGAAUAGGCUGGGGAGGGUUAAUGUCCAUACCAAAGUUAAAAAGGCUCUGCAGCGUGAGGCGAUUGGCUUAGGUUGUCCUGCCCACAUCAUUCAUAACACAGCCAGAAUAGCUUUGGAUAUGAUUCCCCUUGAUGUUGAUUACCUGCUCACAAAGAUAUUUUCAUAUUUUUACCGUCAGAGUAGAAAGACUGAAGAGCUUUUGUGAGUUUGUUGGCCAGGAGUACCAUAACAUUUUAGGACACUGCGAUGUUCGCUGGCUGUCCAUGCUCCCUGCUCUAGAAAGGGUGCUGAAAAUAUAUGUGCCAUUUGAAAUCCUUUUUUCUUUAUGAAGACACAUGCCCUGUUGUCCUGUGAACAAUGUUCGAAGGUCCAUUGGCUGGCCUUUGUCCAUGGAAACCUGACCUUAUUCAGUGACAUGAUCAAGAUGCUUAAAGGCCAGGACCGCUGUGCUGUGGAGUCAACUGCAAUUCUGAGAAACGUUGAGGCAAAAUUGACUGCAAGACAUGAUGACAACUUCAUUCCAGUUUUGGUCAGAGGACUUCUGAGAGAGCUAGAGGAAAAUGGAGCAAUGUCUAAAGAGAGCUUUCUGGAAACAUCCCAAUCAUUCUUCACUACGGGUGUGAAUUACUUGCAAGCAUGGGGAAAGCACACAAAUAAUCUAAAAUAUUUACAUGGUCUCCUUUUUAAAAAGGCAACCUCAGUGUGAAGAGAUCCAGAAGGCACCAGCCACACUGCAGGAAAAAUGCCCCAAUGUGACCAUCAAUGAGGAUGCAUUGUUUGACGAGGUUACUGGCCUGCAAGAGUUCCUAAAGGGGGGAUCACUUGAAGAAUGAAAAACAUCUGAGACAACGCUUAGUCAGAUAUGGAGCAUGGUGGUUACACACUUCAAAGAGAACAACAUCCCACACACUAACCUGGCUAAAUUAGCGUCUGUUGUCAUGUGCUUACCUGGAAGUAAUGCACCAGUCGAGAGAGUGUUCUCCCAAAUGAAAGAUAUAUGGACAGCAGCAAGAAAUAGGUUCACUGUUCUGACCAACAAGGCCGUGCUUAUUGUGAAGACAAACUUCAUCGUCCCCUGCCAGGAGUUCAUGGAGAAGCUGGCCAAAGACAGAGCAAUCCUGAAGAAAAUACAUUCUUCUGAAAAAUAUACAGAUUAGACUACCAGGACCACUGAAUGGCUGUUCAGAUCAGUUCUACCCAGACUACCAGGACCACUGAAUGGCUGUUCAGAUCAGACAGUUCUGUCUUGUCUGUAGUGUUUCUGUAAUAUAGUUGUUUUCUCUGUCUACCACAGUGUGUGUGGCUGUUAGAUUAAAUAAAUGAAACCGGAAUUGUC